GAUCCUCUUUCUUAUUUCUCUUAAUUUGGAGUUUGAGAGAAAAUGUUAAUUCAUUCAUCAUACAUAUUUCAAACUCACCUUGCAUGAGCUUAGUAAAAUCUUCAUAUAAAUCCUCGUUUGUAGAACCAAAAGUGAUAUCAUCAAUGUAUACUUUGAGCAAAUAAGAUAUCACAAAUUCUUCUUUUUGAUGCAUAGAUUUAUCACUAUUACUUUCUAUCAAAAAGUUACUCAAGCUUUUAUAUCAUGUUUUUGGUGCUUGUUCCAAAU
rnacentral:lncRNA from 1 species